UGCACUAUACCCUGGUCAUUUCAUUAGCU
rnacentral:piRNA from 1 species